CUGACAAGCCUAUGAAGAGCGUGCUCAGUAUGUCUCUUCAAAGAGUCCCUACUCCCAAAGCAGGAAGUCCAGCCCUGUGCAGCUUGGAAACAACAUGAAGCAGACAGGAAGGAAGCAUGCCACGAUGGCAAGGCAAGGGCACCGUGCAACGCCACCCCAGCCUCUGCUCCCAAGUGCAACAGUGCAGAAACCACUAUGAACCGUACUCAUAAUGGACCCCCGACUCCAUAUCCAGAUAGGACAAACUCACCCGGCAAGCAGUCCCUGGCCAGCAUCCACGCACCCAGGACUGACGGCCCCCACCAUGCCUCCGCAACCACACAAACAUACCUUUUUCCAAUUAACCUGUUCACCUGUGGAAUGUUCUAAACAGGUGUUUUUUGAGCAUUCUUCUACUUUCUCAGUCUUUUGUUGCCCAUGUCCCAGCUUUUUUUGGAAUGUGUUGCAAGCAUCAAAUUAAAAAUGAGCGAAUAUUUGCAGUUUGAACAUUAAAUAUCUUUUCACUAGCAAGGACCACGCCAUAAAGAUAUGAGAUUAAAGGUUUAAUGAAGGAAGAGGUUGCGGGGAUGGAUGAAGUGGAAAUGAGGAUUAGGUCAUCUGGGGAGACUGCCAGAAGGCCAAGGAGGAGGAGACUCAGCAUGGGGGUGCAGUCUUUAGGAAAAUUGCUUUUUUAGGAGUCCACCCAGGACCCCCCUAGAUGGAACCUGCAUCGAACAGAAGAGGAUAAUGAAUGACGAAGUAGGGAUGAGGGGGAUGGAAUGAAGGGAAGGAAGGGGGAUGAGUUGAGAAGGGCUGAGGGUAAGGGAGGGUGGGCUUGAAAGAAUGUGACAGACUGUGAGAUAUGAGUGAACUAGGUAGAGUGCAGGGUAGUGGAGGUGUGGUUUUGGUGUGGCCCUGAUCCCAAACUUAACAUAUUAACUUCAUGUCUUUGUAGUGUAUUCAGUAGCAUACUGUAUAGGUUGAGCAGGAUUUGCAAAUCAUUGUACUCUGUUUUUAUUUAUGUUUUACACAACGUACCACCGUUAUUUGAAUUGGGGUUGUACUCUCCUGGGCAUGGUAUCAUUAAUUUUUGACUUUUAAUUAACUGUUAUUUUUUUCAGGGUGGGAUGAUUAUACAAAAUACAACUUCAGUGAUUUAAAAACAUA